AUGACUAAUUCUGCAAGCCGUCGCCGGAAAUCUACAAGCUUUCAGAGAACUAACUCUGAUGAAAGCUGUAGCGUGGACAUGAGUGAUAAUGAUGUUUCCUCUCAAUCAAAAUCAACCAGGAAUAGCCGUAUAAGAUCUCCCAAAAAACUUAAGAGAGCAGCGGCCUCCGAAGUUAAGCAGACAAUCAACUGGAAAUGUGAUCCAAACAAGAUAUGCGCCAUUAUAAAAAAACUAUGUCCAGAACAGCUAAAAUGGAUAGAAGAAUUGGGAUUUGGAUCACUCAUUGACAUGAUUGAGUGCAAGUUACCCAGAAAGCUAACUAUAUGGCUGAUGAAAAGAGUAGACUGCGACAACAAGUGUCUAGUAUUCAGAAACAGGAAGGUCUCUAUAGUACAAGCUGUUGAAAACCUGUUGAAGUUACCUGCUCUUGACAAACCAGUUCCAAUGCCCCAUCCAGGUAGGGUUCAUGACAAACCUUUCAGAGAUAAAACUGAAUUCAAGUCUGCUACGGCCGGAAGAGGAGAAUCACUCAAGGAAGCGACAGACAGGAUGUUAACAUACAAAGAGGAGAAAGACAAGGACAAGUUUUGCUUGUGUUUCAUGCAAGUCAUUCUUUGCGCCUACUUAGCUCCAACGACUGGUUACCAAAUUAAUAGAAGUUACCUGCUAGGAGCUUUGAAGGACUUGAGCGACAUACCUUCUAUGAAUUGGUGUCGUUUUGCUGCUGAGUACCUUAUCGAGGCAAUCCGUGAAUCAAGGGAAAACAAAGUGCAGAACCUGAAUGUCGGUGGAUGCAUUCAUAUUCUACAUGAUGAUGAAAAGUUAGCAAUGUUCCCUACUGUGGAAGACCAUAAUGAUGAUCUUGAUGAUCACGAAAAUUCUACACAUUCCACCCAACCAGUAACAGCAAAUAUAAGUAAUGUACCUUGCAAGGAGAAACAUAAACUUCCUCCACAAAAUUUGAUCAAACGGAUAAAGAUGCUUGAAGACCAGUACACAUCCGAUCGACAAAGGUUGAUCACUGUGUCUGAAUGCAAGCUUCAAAACAAGCUGCAACAACUUCAAAUAAAGAAAACCAAGGAAAUGGCAGCCUUGCUCCAGGAAGAGAUUCAUAAGGCUAUGUUACCGAUGAUUGAUAAUGCACGUCCAGGAAGUUCUCUGCAUAAUGAUAAUGCAACUUUGACCAAAGGAACUGUAGGAACACAAAGUCCAUGUCACUCCAAUCUAGAUGAAGCUGUUCUGAUUUCUUCCCAGUCUGCUCAACGUGUCGAAGAUGACAACUUCCAUUCUGCUUCGCCCAUUAUUGCUCACAUUACUCAGUACGAGCCUUCUUCUUCUAAAGAAUUGGCUACCACGGACCAGAUUGUUGAGGCUGAACCUUCUGCUUGUAAAGAUCCAUUGGUUGAAAGCAUUUGCACUUUUCAAAAUCUCAAGUCCGAUGCUAAAACAUGUUCUGCAACAACCGCCAUACAAAGACAAGAGACUUCUCUUGCCAAUGUUUUAUCGUCGUCAAAUAUAUGUGCUUCUACAGAUCCGUUAGAAUUAGUCUCUGCAGUCAUCAUUCCCACAACUGCAAUUAUCAUUCCAAACAAUGUUGCCCACCAAGUCCAGUCACAUCAUGUUCAAACUGAGAAAAGCAACAUGCCAAGUGAAGAUUCAUCAAUCAUGAAGUUUGUUGUUACUGAUGGUCAACCGGAUAGUGCUUCUCUUGUACCUGUUACUAGUGCUAUUAAUGUGCGUGGACAUGGCAACCCAGGGGAUGAGCCAGAGAGUAAUGCAUUUGGUGUUCAACAUGCAAAACAGGAUUCAUCCAAAAAUGUUUUGCAUGAAGUACAUAAUACCGUUUCUACCGCAGCAACUUCUGAUGUAAUUCCAGAUAUUGCCUUCAUUGAUCCAAAAUCAACAAAAUCUUCAUCUCAAACAGAUGUUUGUGAUGCACAGAAAGCUACAAAGAAUCAUAGUUUCUCACACAAUCCCGCCUCAGAUGUUGUUCAACUACAACAUAUAGAGAAGACGACACUUGAAGAUGACCUUCAGAACCAAUCGAAUGAUCAUUUGAUAAAUCUUGAUGUCAGCAAAAAUGAUAUUCAAUCGACGAAAGAUAUUGAAAGUUCUGAUACUGAUUCCACUUCAAAAGAUGUUCCAAAUAUUUCUUCCCCACCUGUAUCCAUACAAAUAGUAGGUGAUGUAUCAAUUAUGUCAGUCAGUCAGAUGACCAAGGAAUAUGAUAGGAUGAAUGUACCAACGGAUGCUAGUAUUUAUACUACUCAACAUAAUGCUGCAUCUACGCUCCAGGAAGUCUCAAGAAUUGAAGAUAUGCAGAGCCUUAUUCAGCCUCAGACUAUUGUUUUGGAAACUUCUGUUCAGCCCAAGCACAGAUCCUCCAGUUUGGAUGUUUUGUAG
rnacentral:rRNA from 1 species